AAUGCCUGGGUAUGUCCUAGACAGUUGUGUCUAUAUGCAAAUACAUAAGCGCUGGGAUGAUUAAUAUAACCCAAGCAAUUGGAAGGAAAUAAAAAUUAAUGGCAGGCUGGGGUGCAGUGACAAGAGGGAAUGUGUUUUGUUUCUAAUUAGAGGUCAUUAAACUUAUACAAAUGGUGUGCCCAGUUAAAAUGGAUGAAUGAGUGGAGCUGCUUAAAAGAACAGGAACAGCCUGAGCCAUCCUGUUUUUAAAAAAAACCCGCAUCAGAUAGUGAGAGGGAAACGUUCUGUUCUGUGCUCUACGCUGUUGUCUGUGUGCGCGCACUGUCACCGUUACUGAGGCAACAGCAGCCAUGAAAUGAUGAUGCAAAUCAUGCCCCCAGUUCAGAGGAGGAAGCGCCACCUCCCUGUGAAGCUUCGCUGCAGAGUGGAGCUGUGUCAGGAGGUCUGGCUCUCCAGCCCAGCUUCUCUGCAUUAGCAGAGGCUGCUGUUUGCUUCCGUCUGGGCUGACUGGUAAUUCUGGCUGCCUAAGGUUCUCUUAAUAACUUCAGUGAGAGGUUAAAAAAAAUGAUUCUGCUUCAGCUCCCUCCUCCAAAUCCUCUCAGGGUCACAGGAUACUGGAUGUUUACCAAGAUGCUAAGAACAGCUUGUGGGGGCCUGGUGAAAUGCUGUUCAUGUUUCGUUCUCUGAUCCUGCCUGCCUUGUCUUGGAAACGUGGGCCUGCUCUUGUGAUGCCAGCCCGAAUGCCAGCCUAAGCAUUUCCAUUCUGAUCCCUACUACCAGGCCACCUCCUGUGGGCAGAACAAUCUCAUAAUCCCAGAACAUCCAACAUCCUUCCCACUCCACUCCUGCAUCCAUCUGAAAGAUCUACUGCUUUCAUCAGGACAGCAGAUAACAAGGGCAGAGGAACGGGGAGAGGAUUUACCCUGGUUUAAAAAGAAAAACCACCACAAAGUUGUCCAUUGUGUCAGUGGCACUUGUUCGAGAUUUGCAUUGCUGACUACCGACCCCAAAAGAGUUAACCGAGUAGGUGUGACUAAGCAGCAGAGAAAAAGAUGCAAUCGUGAGAGGUUUGGAACCAAAGCAAAAAAACGGAGAGAUCGAUCUUGGAAUAACUGUGCUCAUGCCCAGAGAGAGGUACCUUCCACAGCAGGGUGGACUAUCAGACCACCGCCUGCAAGGUCAUUCAGCUGUCUCACCAUCAGCCACUAACAGUGCUGCCUGACCUCAUGGACAUCCUGUAUUAGAUGCCCAAGCAAGCCACAGACUUUGGAAAGAACAGCAUCAGCUAUCAGAGAUUCCUCUUUCAUGAAAGGAGACUUGGAUUCCAGAGACAAAAAGGGCACUCUCCAGUUUGCACUGCUGAAAGUGCACAUCCUCACUGGUCCAUCCAGUCAGCCUCUAGUGUAACCAGCAGACCCUGCGUCAUCCUUGGAAGACGUUCAAGAGAAGACCAUAGCUGGUGGGGAUGAAGAGUGCCCACAAGGCGGAACAGAAGCCAUGGAGUCUGUUUGCUCCAAGACACAUUUUCUUAGGGUCUGGAGCAAUCUCCAAUCAACAGGACAUGCAAAGCAGUAGAAGAGUAAAGAGAGGACCUUAAUGAUUGUGGAUGAUGGUUACCAUACUGCAUGGUGCUAGCCAUAACUAUGGAUUCUGGAAGAGGAAGGUGAUGAGCAGAGGUAAUUUCCAGGGAAGGAAAGGAAGAAAAAUGAUCUGCAGCAAAAGAUAUGAGACAAUCUAAUGGCUGGAGGUUGAAGCUAGACUGGAAAUUGAGAAUGGAAAUAGGGUGUACAUUUUUAACAGAGAGAAUAGUUAACCAUUGGAACCACUUACUAAGGGUUGUGAUGGAUUCUUCAUUUUAAAAUGAAGAUGGGAUGUUUUUCUAAGAUAUGCUCUAGGAAUUAUUUUGAGGAAGUUAUAUGGUCAGUGUUAUACAGGAGGGCAAAACAGAUGAUCGCACUGAUCCCUUCUGGUCUUGGAAUCUAUGAAUUAUCUGUGAACAGAAAAAGUUUCAACUCCACCUAAUAAUUUUGUUGUUUGGGGGGAAACAAAAAAGUUCAUUACUAAAACUGUUUGUAUUCAGGGAAUUGUGUCAAACUGACCCUGAUAGCCAUCUUUAGUAUGAGCCAAGGUAGAGCCAAGCUCAGGAAUAAUAGUCCUAAAUUAUUUAUAUUAUCUUGCCUGGUACUGAUUUUGGAGUGACAGGCCUAUAAUUACCCAGCUUCGUCCUGUUAACCCUUUUUAAAUAAUGGCACAGUAUUAGCUUACUUCCAGUCUUAUAAAACUUCUCCUGUGUUCCAUAACUUGUUGAAAAUCAAUAUUAAUGGUCCAGUGAGCCUCUCAGCCAGCUCUUUUAAAACUCUUGGGUGCAAGUUAUCUGGACCUGCUGAUUCAAAAAUGUCUAACUUUAGUAGCUGCUGCAUAACAUCCUCCUAUGAUACAAGUGAAGUGGAAAGAGUGUCAUCAUAUGAUGAGAUUGUUAUGGGUUUUCCCCCCCUCAAAUACAGAACAGAAAUAUUUAUUGAA